AGUGGCGAACGGGUGAGUAAAGUAUCGGAACGUGCCCAGUCGUGGGGGAUAACGUAGCGAAAGUUACGCUAAUACCGCAUACGAUCUAUGGAUGAAAGCGGGGGAUCGCAAGACCUCGCGCGAUUGGAGCGGCCGAUAUCAGAUUAGGUAGUUGGUGGGGUAAAGGCUCACCAAGCCGACGAUCUGUAGCUGGUCUGAGAGGACCACCACCCACACUGGGACUGAGACACGGCCCACACUCCUACGGGAGGCAGCAGUGGGGAAUUUUGGACAAUGGGCGCAAGCCUGAUCCAGCCAUGCCGCGUGCAGGAUGAAGGCCUUCGGGUUGUAAACUGCUUUUGUACGGAACGAAAAGGUUUGGCCUAAUAAGCUGAGCUCAUGACGGUACCGUAAGAAUAAGCACCGGCUAACUACGUGCCAGCAGCCGCGGUAAUACGUAGGGUGCGAGCGUUAAUCGGAAUUACUGGGCGUAAAGCGUGCGCAGGCGGUUAUGUAAGACAGAUGUGAACUCCCCGGGCUCAACCUGGGAACUGCAUUAGUGACUGCAUAGCUGGAGUACGGCAGAGGGAGAUGUAAUUCCGCGUGUAGCAGUGAAAUGCGUAUAUAUGCGGAGGAACACCGAUGGCGAAGGCCAUCCCCUGGGUCUGUACUGACGCUCAUGCACGAGAGCGUGGG
rnacentral:rRNA from 1 species